UGGGGAAUUUUGGACAAUGGGCGAAAGCCUGAUCCAGCAAUGCCGCGUGUGUGAAGAAGGCCUUCGGGUUGUAAAGCACUUUUGUCCGGAAAGAAAUCCUUGGCUCUAAUACAGUCGGGGGAUGACGGUACCGGAAGAAUAAGCACCGGCUAACUACGUGCCAGCAGCCGCGGUAAUACGUAGGGUGCAAGCGUUAAUCGGAAUUACUGGGCGUAAAGCGUGCGCAGGCGGUUUUGUAAGACGGAUGUGAAAUCCCCGGGCUUAACCUGGGAACUGCAUUCGUGACUGCAAGGCUAGAGUAUGGCAGAGGGGGGUAGAAUUCCACGUGUAGCAGUGAAAUGCGUAGAGAUGUGGAGGAAUACCGAUGGCGAAGGCAGCCCCCUGGGCCAAUACUGACGCUCAUACACGAAAGCGUGGGGAGCAAACAGGAUUAGAUACCCUGGUAGUCCACGCCCUAAACGAUGUCAACUAGUUGUUGGGGAUUCAUUUCCUUAGUAACGUAGCUAACGCGUGAAGUUGACCGCCUGGGGAGUACGGUCGCAAGAUUAAAACUCAAAGGAAUUGACGGGGUCAUAGCUGUUUCCU
rnacentral:rRNA from 1 species